UACGUAGGUGGCAAGCGUUGUCCGGAUUUAUUGGGUUUAAAGGGUGCGUAGGCGGUCUAUUAAGUCAGUGGUGAAAUAUGGCAGCUCAACUGUCAAGGUGCCAUUGAUACUGAUGGACUUGAGUGAAGUCGAAGUAGGCGGAAUUGACGGUGUAGCGGUGAAAUGCGCAGAUAUCAGGAGGAACACCGGUGGCGAAGGCGGGUCUCUGGGCCGAUACUGACGCUGAGGAGCGAAAGCGUGGGGAGCGAACAGG
rnacentral:rRNA from 1 species